GUAUUAACGGGAUAGUGGUCAUCUUGGUCGUUGCCAUUGAGUAGCCGCGAGUUCGAUUCUUGCUUAAUGCA